UGCUGCCGGUAUGGCCCUAAAAGAAAAACAAACAAACAAAAAAACAAUGCUGUGAGAAGACCAAGGAUCAGUGUGAAACCUUCCAUCAAAAGGAGGGCUCCUCAGUCAAGUCAGUUUGGAAAUGCUGCAACCAGUAGCCCCCAAGUGGAUCUAAGAAACCACACUGAAGGGAGAGAAGUUCAACAGCAAAGAAACAGCAUGUAGAACUUCCUGGGCUAUUGCUUCUCAGCCUUUUGGCCAAGAUCAAGUGUAGAAGUUCCUGGGCCAGGGAUCACACCUGCGACCUGCACCACAGCAGCAGCCUGAGAAGCUGCAGUGACAAUGCCUGAUCCUUAGCCUUUCUCACCACAAGGGAACUCCUCCAUAUUUUUCCAAUCUCUGUGACCUCAAAGAUCCUCAACUCCUAAAAUUCUAUGAUUCCACAAUUUCUAAUUGGUGUCGUAGUCUAGAAAUCCCAAGAAGAAAAAUAAAGGAGAUGAAUGAAUUUGUUCAGAAAAGCAUUUU